CCGGCGGCGUCCCUAACACAUGCAAGUCGAGCGGAGAUAUUCGAGCGUAUUCNUACGUAAUAGUAUCCCAGCGGCGGACGGGUGAGUAACACGUGAGUAACCUGCCUUUUGCAGGGGAAUAACAUUGGGAAACCAGUGCUAAUACCGCAUAACAUCGCCGGAUGGCAUCAUCAGGCUAUUUAAGGAGAAAUCCGGCAGAAGAUGGACUCGCGUCCGAUUAGCUAGUUGGCAGGGUAAAGGCCUACCAAGGCAACGAUCGGUAGCCGAACUGAGAGGUUGAUCGGCCACAUUGGGACUGAUACACGGCCCACACUCCUACGGGAGGCCCUCAUUGGGGAAUAUUGGGCUAUGGUGGAAACCCUGACGCUCUUCGCCGCGUGAAUGAACAAAGGCCUCGGGUUGUAAAAUUCUUU
rnacentral:rRNA from 1 species